AUUCAGCUGACGAGUUCCAAAUAGGACGAGACGCGCGUUCUGUAU
rfam:Schistosoma rodhaini strain Burundi genome assembly, scaffold: SROB_scaffold0009403